AGAAGGAAGCCGGCCCCUCUCUAUAGUCCUGGUCAGAGAGUUUGGCUCUCCGCUAAGGAUAUUCCCCUGAAAGCCGCGCCUCGGAAGCUGUCCCCUAGAUUUCUGGGCCCUUUUGAAAUUCAGGAGGUGAUAAACCCUUCUGCGGUGAGGCUCGGGCUCCCGCCCUCUCUUAAGGUGCACCCUGUGUUUCAUGUCUCCUUGUUGAAACUGGUGAGGACUAGCCCGCUGUGUCCUCCGGUUGCCUUCCCUCCCCCCGCCCGCAUCAUCGAUGGAGCUCCGGCCUAUACGGUGAAUAAGAUUCUGGAUGUCCGUCGGCGGGGUCGGGGAUUUCAGUAUCUGGUGGAUUGGACGGGGUACGGCCCGGAGGAGCGCUCCUGGAUUCCCAGAUCGUUUAUUCUGGAUCCGUCUGUUCUACGUGAGUUUCACGCCUCCAGGCCCAGGAGCGUCGCUGGACCACCAGGUGGCGGUCGUUGAAGGGGGGGUACUGUCAGGAUUCAGGUUGGAGUGAGGGCUCUUUCCAGAGACGAGCUACGCGGAGGAGUUUGACAGCCUGACGUACCUGCAUCGGAUCCUGGUAACCAGCGGCAGGCUUCUUAAGAAGCGGUGGAACCACCAGUCUUCGCUCGAUGGUUACCACUUGUUGACCUUGAUCCCGCUUCCCGGAGCCAAGCCUGGAACUUCACCGGUCAGGCACGUCUCGCUGGUUGGCACCUCCAAGCCGUUCCAAUCCGCUGCAGCCCGGGACCCCUGAACCUACCUGGACUCCCUUUUCCUCCUGACGUCCUCCAGUCUCAAUUCUCGAACAAUCAUUUGACCUCAUUAAAACAAACCCUCUUAAACGUAAAGUCUGUUCUUCGGUGCGCACCUGCAUGUGGGCAAGGAAAUUAAAAUCCAACAUGACAGAUGUCCUUU